rnacentral:rRNA from 1 species
UGGGGAAUCUUGCACAAUGGGGGAAACCCUGAUGCAGCGACGCCGCGUGAGCGAUGAAGCCCUUCGGGGUGUAAAGCUCUUUCGGCAGGGACGAUAAUGACGGUACCUGCAGAAGCAGCUGCGGCUAACUACGUGCCAGCAGCCGCGGUAAUACGUAGGCAGCGAGCGUUGUUCGGAGUUACUGGGCGUAAAGGGUGUGUAGGCGGUUCUCUAAGUUUGGUGUGAAAUCUCCCGGCUCAACCGGGAGGGUGCGCCGAAAACUGGAGGGCUAGAGUGCGGGAAGGGAGAGUAGAAUUCCUGGUGUAGCGGUGAAAUGCGUAGAUAUCAGGAGGAAUACCGGUGGUGCAGACGGCUCUCUGGACCGCGACUGACGCUGAGACACGAAAGCGUGGGUAGCAAACA